rnacentral:lncRNA from 1 species
UCCUCUUUGGCUAAACCUGACCACUUCCCUGUUAUCUCUCCCACCCCCCGGAAUUUUUAGGUAUUUGCCUCUGAGGCUCCCUUUGCCUGGAAGCCUUUCCGAGUUCCAUCCAUGUCUUUGGAAGUCCUGACAAAAUGCUUCAACCUGGAUCCCAAAUGUCAUCCCCUCAACAGAGCCUGUAAUCGAGCUUUUCAGCCCAUCAACCUGUUGUGCUUCCUCCAAACAGUAUGAAGACCCUGAAGCCGAGAGUCACGGACUGAUUUGUUCA